GGACGGUAAGUAACUGCCAAACACCGAAAUUGUACUAACAGUGACGCCGGAGCGCCAACAAAACAUCAACUGCCAACUAAUAAUUGAAGAAGACACUAAAUAAACCCGAACAACACACUCUACA